rnacentral:piRNA from 1 species
UCCUUGAGAUGGAUUCUGCACAAGUGGUC